AGUGAACGCUGGCGGUAGGCCUAACACAUGCCAGUCGAACGGCAGCACAGUAAGAGCUUGCUAUUACGGGUGGCGAGUGGCGGACGGGUGAGGAAUACAUCUGACUCUACUUUUUCGUGGGGGAUAACGUAGGGAAACUUACGCUAAUACCGCAUACGACCUACGGGUGAAAGCAUGGGAUCUUCGGACCUUGCGCGAUUGAAUGAGCCGAUGUCGGAUUAGCUAGUUGGCGGGGUAAAGGCCCACCAAGGCGACGAUCCGUAGCUGGUCUGAGAGGAUGAUCCGCCACAGUGGAAGUGAGACACGGACCAGACUCCUAAGGGAGGCAGCAGUGGGGAAUAUUGGACAAUAGGCGCAAGCCUGAGCCAGCCAUACCGCGUGGGUGAAGAAGGCCUUCGGGUUGUAAAGCCCUUUUGUUGGGAAAGAAAAGCAGCAGGUUAAUACCCCGCUGUUCUGACGGUACCCAAAGAAUAAGCACCGGCUAACUUCGUG
rnacentral:rRNA from 1 species